rnacentral:rRNA from 1 species
CCCGCUGAACUUAAGCAUAUCAAUAAGCGGAGGAAAAGAAACUAUACAAGGAUUCCCCUAGUAACUGCGAGUGAAGCGGGAAAAGCUCAAAUUUAAAAUCUGGUGGCCUUUGGCCAUCCGAGUUGUAAUUUAGAGAAGCGUCUUCCGCGCUGGACCGUGCUCAAGUUUCCUGGAAUGGAACGUCGUAGAGGGUGAGAAUCCCGUCUUUGACACGGACUACCAAGGCUUUGUGGUGCGCUCUCACAAGAGUCGUGUUGUUCGGGAAUGCUUUCACUAAAUGGGUGGUAAAUUCCAUCUAAAGCUAAAUAUUGGGGAGAGACCGAUAGCGAACAAGUACCGUGAGGGAAAGAUGAAAAGAACUUUGGAAAGAGAGUUAAACAGUACGUGAAAUUGCUGAAAGGGAAACGCUUGAAGUCAGUCGCGUUGGCCGGGGAUCAGCCUUCCUUUUGGUUGGUGUACUUCCUGGUCGAUGGGUCAGCAUCAGUUUUGACCGGUGGAUAAGAGCUUGAGGAAUGUGGCAUCUUCGGGUGUGUUAUAGCCUCUUGUUGUCAUACAUCGGUUGGGACUGAGGAACUCACGCACGCCGGCAAGGCCGGGUCUUUAACACACGUUCGUGCUUAGGAUGCUGGCAUAAUGGCUUUAAUCGACCCGUCUUGAAACACGG